ACAGAGAUCUCAUCAGACGGAGCCUGU
rnacentral:piRNA from 1 species